UACGUAGGGUCCUAGCGUUGUCCGGAUUUACUGGGUGUAAAGGGUGCGCAGGCGGACUGAUAAGUCAGGGGUGAAAUCUCACAGCUCAACUGUGAAACUGCCUUUGAUACUGUCAGUCUUGAAUAAGCGAGAGAUUCGUGGAAUUCCGAGUGUAGCAGUGAAAUGUGUAGAUAUUCGGAAGAACACCAGUGGCGAAGGCAGCGAAUUGGCGCUUUAUUGACGCUCAGGCUACGAAAGCAUGGGGAUCAAACAGG
rnacentral:rRNA from 1 species